AAGCGUGCGCAGGCGGUUAUGUAAGACAGAUGUGAAAUCCCCGGGCCUCAACCUGGGAACUGCAUUUGUGACUGCAUGGCUAGAGUACGGUAGAGGGGGAUGGAAUUCCGCGUGUAGCAGUGAAAUGCGUAGAUAUGCGGAGGAACACCGAUGGCGAAGGCAAUCCCCUGGACCUGUACUGACGCUCAUGCACGAAAGCGUGGGGAGCAAACAGGAUUAGAUACCCUGGU
rnacentral:rRNA from 1 species